rnacentral:rRNA from 1 species
CUGGCGGCGUGCCUAAUACAUGCAAGUCGAACGGUCUUUCUAUGGAAGCUUGCUUCCACUGAGAAGAUAGUGGCGAACGGGUGAGUAACACGUGGGUAACCUGCCCAUAAGAGGGGGAUAACAUCCGGAAACGGGUGCUAAUACCGCAUAGUUUCUUGAUCGCAUGAUCGGGAAAGGAAAGACGGCCUUUGUGCUGUCGCUUAUGGAUGGACCCGCGGCGUAUUAGUUAGUUGGUGAGGUAACGGCUCACCAAGACGAUGAUACGUAGCCGACCUGAGAGGGUGAUCGGCCACAUUGGGACUGAGACACGGCCCAAACUCCUACGGGAGGCAGCAGUAGGGAAUCUUCCGCAAUGGACGAAAGUCUGACGGAGCAACGCCGCGUGAGUGAAGAAAGGGUUUUCGGAUCGUAAAACUCUGUUGUCAGAGAAGAACAAGUUGGAGAGUAACUGCUCCAGCCUUGACGGUAUCUGACCAGAAAGCCACGGCUAACUACGUGCCAGCCGCCGC